AAAAAUUGAGGUUCAAUUGUCGAACUAACUUUUGAUCUUGUAAUAGCAGCAAUGCUUGAUUCAUAGUUCUUUACGAGCAUUCGAAGGCACAACAACUCAGCUCUAUAGAUAAGAACUUACAACUUCAGGAUCUCGUCAUCAAGGUAGGAAAUCAGAAUAAGUCUCUGAAAGGUCCCGCUUAGAGAAACUUUCAUGCCACUGG
rnacentral:misc_RNA from 1 species